rnacentral:rRNA from 1 species
CCUACGGGUGGCAGCAGUGAGGAAUAUUGGUCAAUGGGCGCGAGCCUGAACCAGCCAAGUCGCGUGAGGGAUGAAGGUUCUAUGGAUCGUAAACCUCUUUUAUAAGGGAAUAAAGUGUGGGACGUGUCCUAUUUUGUAUGUACCUUAUGAAUAAGGAUCGGUUAAAUCCGUGCCAGCAGCCGCGGUAAUACGGAGGAUCCGAGCGUUAUCCGGGUUUAUUGGGUUUAAAGGGUGCGUAGGCGGUCUUUUAAGUCAGCGGUGAAAGUCUGUGGUUCAACCAUCGAAUUGCCGUUGAAACUGGGGAGCUUGAGUAUGUUAGAGGCAGGCGGAAUGCGUGGUGUAGCGGUGAAAUGCUUAGAUAUCACGCAGAACCCCGAUUGCGAAGGCAGCCUGCCAAGCCAUAACUGACGCUGAGGCACGAAAGCGUGGGGAUCAAACAGGAUUAGAUACCCUUGUAGUC